rnacentral:rRNA from 1 species
UUUUGGGUGUUUCUGCCGGGCCCCCCCGCCAUCGGGAUGGGGGUAAGACAUACUAAUUGUGAGCCUCCAAGCCACCGUGGGGGGGGGGCGGACAGCUCAAUAACACGUGGCUAACCUACCCCUGGGAAGGAGAUAAACCCGGGGAAAAGGGGGUUAAUUCCCAUAGGUGGGGGCUCCUGGAAAGGGUCCUCGCCGAAAGGGAGUCUAGACCAAGCUUUUAGACGCCGCCCAAGGAUGGGGCCGCGGCCGAUCAGGUUGUUGGUGAGGUAACGGCUCACCAAGCCUAUAACCGGUACGGGCCGUGAGAGAGGGAGCCCGGAGAUGGACACUGAGACAAGGGUCCAGGCCCUACGGGGGGCAGCAGGCGGGAAACAUCCCCAAUACGUGAACCGGUUGAUCCCGCCGGACCACAUGUCAACGCGUGUUAAUGGUUUUACCCC